CUCUCGAAAAGGCAAAACCCGAGUAAUCGGGUGACGCAAAGUCACGGGUCCCAAUGGGACAGCCGGACCGCCACA
rfam:Oceanospirillum sp. MED92 1099521380376, whole genome shotgun sequence.